AUUAUCUUUGUGGACUAGGUUGACAAUAUUGAGAGGUGGAGUCAGUUUAUCUGCUCCGCCCAUGAAAUUCUUCUGGAGGGACCUCAGGAAGGGCGGCUACUGAGCUGGGGCUAUGGGCUGUGCUGGUUCUUCAGGGCCCCUCCCUCACAGGAGGCCUGGGAAGGAAAGGUUUCACUUUCGAAGGAUGAGAUGGCUAAACAGAACCGCCCUGUUUGGUCAUUUGCAAUCAGGCUAGCCUGGAGGUGCUUGGUGCUACAGUAACUGACUUGAGGGGACAUUGGGAGUGUGGAGGAACCUCUGGAAAGAAGAUUGAGAGACCGGAGGCCCAAGAGUGGUUGGUGAGGAACCACCCAUGACUUGGUUUCAGAGUCCACUGGUUUGGAGCAGAAAGGAAAGUUAUAGCAUCAGCUGGGAGCUACAAAUGCCCCGAGGGGUCCCAGUUGCUGCUGGAGUCCUGGCCCUCCUUGCUCUCCUGGCUUUGGUCUAUCAUUGUCUCAAUGAGGUACCUUCCUUCUGACUCCAUGCCUCUGCCCACAGCCAUCUCCUCAGAACCUGCUUCCCUCCUCAUGACUCUCUCUGUGCCCAGGCCUGGAAGUCCAGAUGGAGGCUUUGCUGUGGGAGCUGGAGGUGCCCUCCAACUGGAAAGAGCUUGCAGUUUGUCUUCAUCCACAGCCUGAAUGAGGGCCAGCCGGGAAUCCUCUCUUCAGAGCCUUCCCCAGUGUCCCCCGAAGGCCCUAAUGGCACCAGGACCGCUCUUCAGCUUCGGGUAUGAAGAGGAUCCCUCCCUCCGUGCUCAGAGCAGGUUGUAGUAUCUGCCAAGCACCCUGCGAAUAUUUGGAAAACCAUUAAUAUGGAUGGAGGACUGAGCCCAUGAGAGGAGGGCAGUGUGACUGUAGGUGAGGUGAGGAGUGCGGCCUUGUCCCACAGGAGUCUGGCCCAAGGGAGGGAGGCACUAGUGCAAGUGUCUCGUCUCUGGCUUAUGGCAGCAAAGCUUUCUUCUCCCAAAGCCACCCUGAAGAAGCAGAGGUUCUGGUUACUCCAUCUUUAACAGUGGCCUGUCCCCAUGGGUGUGAUGUCAUGACACAGCCAGCACAAGGAAGCUGCACCUGACCUCCGUCCACUCCCAAGAGCUUUGUCACUGUCCCUGCAGAGCUCUCAGCCUUUGCAGCCCCGAGCUUCCUUGGUUCAGCCUAGGCACCAGAAAGGUCAGGGCCUCCUGGAGCAUGUCUGGCAUCCCUGGUUGCUGAGCACUAAGCCGGUGAGCUUUCUGGGUCAGGUCACGGCUGCAGCCGACCCCCUUGCCUGCUUUCCCAGACUAGAAGCACUGGAACCUGGACUCCUAAGAUCCCCAGAGCCACCCGAGUUAAGGGGAGGUUAGUUAGCUUGCAGUAGGUAGAACUGGAAACUGUCCCCAAGAUUCCUGUCCCUGGAGGUCCACGGGCUCGUGAGUCAGUCCUCUGGAAUGCAGAUGUAACCAUGAGUGCACCACGCUCUUCCCUGAUGAGGCUGUGCUAUGUGGUGGAGGGAUUGGUGUGGAUUCAUUAGAGUCUCUAAUUAAUUAAACUGUCUGCGUUAAGCAAGAGGUGGGGCCAGGGAAAGUGGGGCAUGCCUGUGGUCUAAGCUAACUUGGCAGGGUGAGGCAGCAGGAUCACUUGAGUCCGAGACAUAAGGCCAGCCUGGGUAACAAAGCAAGGCCCUGCCUUAGCUCUCAACAGGGACUGCUGUGUAGCUCAGUCUGGCCUGAGCUGGCUAUGUAGCCCCAACUGGCCUCAAGUCUGCUUUGAGAUCCUCCUUGACUCCCUGAGUACUGGGACUACAGGCGCAUACAGUGCGAGACCUCGAGUCUCAAACAAAACAAACAUUGCUGCGAUGGUGAGCCCUGAUGACCGGAUUUGGCGUGUGACCUGUCCAAGGGUCUGCUCUGCCCAGGAGAGGAUGAGCCAAACAAACGGGAUGGUGAGCCCGGAUGGCCGGAUUUGGCGUGUGACCUGUCCAAGGGUCUGCUCUGCCCACCACUGCCCAGGAGAGGAUGAGCCUCCAAUGUGACACUGCCACCUUGAUUGCAGCUGUGUGACCCCAGGCAGAGGACACUGUUCAGCCUUCCGAGUCCUUGUUCACCAAAAGCAUGAGAUAAAAAAUAGGAGGUUUUGGCAGGAGUUGUUCCUGGCAAUUUGUUCUAAAGUCAUAAUGUGUGCCAAACAGGACAGGCUGGCGGGUCUGAGGGCAGUGAGGAGUGAGGCCACUUUGGGCAGGGUACAAAUGCCCAAUGCUAUCAGGAGAGCCUGCCUAGCUUCUACUACCCUUUUGGGCAGGGGCCCCUGCUGUGGUCAGGUAGGUCGCACUGGGGCUGUUAGAACCCUCCAGAAUGAGAACACAAGACUGGCCUCCCCCGAGUACUGUACAUCUUCUUUUGGCCUUCCGGAGCAAGGGGCUGUAGGAUGAAACGAGUGAGAGAGAAGGCCUAAAGCCUGUGUAUCCUAAGUGGGUCCUUAACUACAUCUCUAGCAUCCGGCCCUUCAACCAGGCAGUCAUAGCUGAUGCCCAGCAUGGAGAGGACUCCAUGGCGGAACUGCGGAGCCUGCACUGACAGGUGGCUGAGGUGGCUCCUGGAAGCACAGGCGGGUGUGGGAGUUGCUGCUGUCACAGGUGAACUGGAAGCAGAGAAAUGGGGUUGUAUACUAAAAUACCCACUGUUGCAGGGUGGUGACAGUGCACACCUUUAAUCCCAGCACUCAGGAGCCAGAGGCAGGUGGAUCUCUGAGUUUGAGGCCAGCCAGGUCUACAGAAGGAGUUCCAGAACAGCUACUCAGAAAUAGGGCUACACAGAGAAACCCUGUCUCAAAAAACCAAAUCAAACCAAGCACAGACUUGUUGAGUCUGUUUGAAACCCUCUUGUCUCUACCUACCCAGUGUAAUCCACCCGAGAUUACAGACAUGCGCACUGGGCCCAGUUUUUCACAGCGUUGUUGGGAAUCUGACUCAGAUCCUCAUGGCUGUAGCGAGCACUUUCCCCAUCCCCAGACUGUCUGAUCUCAGGUGUAGGCCCAGGGUGGCUGGUAGUCAGGGCUGGGUAACGGGCUGAGAAGUAGGCAGUUACCUGUCCAGAUGGUUGGUAUCCAGGGUCUCAAGAAGCAAGCCUGGCCUUGGUUUGGUGUACCACUUCCACUCUGGGCUCACCUCAACUCACUCAAGUGAGCUCAUGAAGGAUCCAGGCACGUGGACCACUCUUCAAGUGUGGGGAUAAGCCCAGCCCAUUAGGAGGCAUGUUUGCCUUGGGCUAAUAUUUACAUAUAAAUCUGGCGAGCAUGAGCCCGCCGCCCCUUCUGUUUUCCUGUUCUCCGCGGGAACCCGUGGUUCUGUAAGUCUAUUUCCCCAUUAAAGCUAUAUAUAUUAUUACAA